CGACCCCAGGUCAGACGG
rnacentral:rRNA from 2 species